rnacentral:rRNA from 1 species
AAUGAACGUUGGCGGCGUGGAUUAGGCAUGCAAGUCGAGCGAGAAGAGUUUGGUAGCUUGCUAUUGAACUCGGAAAGCGGCGAAAGGGAGAGUAACGCGUAGUUACGUGCCCCAGGGUUCGGAGUAGCCACGGGAAACUGUGGGUAAUGCCGAAUAACAUCUCCGGAUCAAAGGUGUGAUUCCGCCCUGGGAGCGGACUGCGUCCUACUAGCUAGUUGGCGGGGUAAUGGCCCACCAAGGCAACAAUGGGUAGCGGGUGUGAGAGCAUGACCCGUCUCACUGGGACUGAGACACUGCCCAGACACCUACGGGUGGCUGCAGUCGAGAAUCUUCGGCAAUGGGCGAAAGCCUGACCGAGCGACGCCGCGUGCGGGAUGAAGGCCCUCGGGUUGUAACCGCUGUCGUAGGGGAGGAAGGCUCCAUGAAGAAUGGGGUUUGACCUAUCCUAGGAGGAAGGACGGGCUAAGUUCGUGCCAGCCGCCGCGGUAA